rnacentral:rRNA from 1 species
CCUACGGGUGGCAGCAGUGAGGAAUAUUGGUCAAUGGGCGCGAGCCUGAACCAGCCAAGUCGCGUGAAGGAGGACGGCCCUACGGGUUGUAAACCUCUUUUGCCGGGGAGCAACGGGCGUCACGUGUGGCGUCACUGAGAGUACCCGGAGCAAAAGCAUCGGCUAACUCCGUGCCGGCAGCCGCGGUAAUACGGAGGAUGCGAGCGUUAUCCGGAUUUAGUGGGUUUAAAGGGUGCGUAGGCGGAUCGUUAAGUCCGUGGGCAAAUUGUGGGGCUAAACCCCUUCCCGCCAUUGAAACUGGCGAGCUUGAGUGGAAGAGAAGUAUGCGGAAUGCGGGGUGUAGCGGUGAAAUGCAGAGAUAUCACGCAGAACCCCGAUUGCGAAGGCAGCAUGCCGGCUUCCGACUGACGCUGAAGCACGAAAGCGUGGGGAUCGAACAGGAUUAGAUACCCCAGUAGUC